rnacentral:rRNA from 1 species
GACGAACCGUGCGAACGUUGUCCGGAAUCAUUGGGCGUAAAGAGCGUGUAGGCGGUCCGGUAAGUCGGCUGUGAAAGUCCAGGGCUCAACCCUGGGAUGCCGGUCGAUACUGCCGGACUAGAGUUCGGAAGAGGCGAGUGGAAUUCCCGGUGUAGCGGUGAAAUGCGCAGAUAUCGGGAGGAACACCUAUGGCGAAGGCAGCUCGCUGGGACGUUACUGACGCUGAGACGCGAAAGCGUGGGGAGCAAACAGG